rnacentral:rRNA from 1 species
GACAGAGGGUGCAAACGUUGUUCGGAAUCACUGGGCUUAAAGCGUGUGUAGGCGGAUCGUUAAGUGCCUUGUGAAAUCCCACGGCUUAACCGUGGAACUGCUUGGCAUACUGGCGGUCUUGAGCCACUUAGGGGCAACCGGAACAAAUGGUGGAGCGGUGAAAUGCGUAGAUAUCAUUUGGAACGCCAAUGGUGAAAACAGGUUGCUGGGAGUGUGCUGACGCUGAGACACGAAAGCCAGGGGAGCGAACGGG